ensembl:lncRNA
GGUGGUGGUGUUACGCACAGUCACACACACACACACACACACACACACACGAGGAGGAAAAAUGGCCUCCCCUGGCGGCCAACCCUGAUCUGUCACACCCGAUCCAUCAGCACCCGGGACCACCGUGGCAGGAGCCCAAUCGACCGGCAUCGGUAAAUGCGCAAUUUCCACAUUAUCGGACGGGGAAAAUGCUAAUUACGAACGACAUGCUUACAAUACAGAAAUAUGAAAUAAAUACGAAUAUACAGUCGUGUGCAAAAUUACAAAAAAUUUUUUUUUAAAUCAUGUAACCAACAGUGAUCUGAAACACAAAUAAGGAUUAUUAAGUGAAAGUGGCAAUAAUUUGGUCUUGACAUCUAGAGAUGUAUUUCUGUAUUGUAAGUAUGUUGUUCAUAAUUUGCAUUUUCAUGUCUGAUAAACUGGCCAUGAACUGUCCCAUAAAGUUCGAUCGAAUCUCGAUCCACCGAGGUGCCACCUAGCAGAGCACCGUCCCCACACACUGCUCACACACUGAUGGUUAAAAGCAGAGGACACACUUCAUUGUGUCACCGUGUGCUGUGCUGCAGUGUUUCACAAUGACAAUCACUUCACUCCAAAAAAAAAAAAAAAAACGCUGCUGAUUUACCUAAUUGGUUAAUUGCAGAAUUCCGUCAUUUCCAUGAAACAAAGACACUGUGUGUAUAGUUGUUCUUGUAGCUCAUCUCUCUUUUUAAUGAUCAUUAUUUGUAUUUUAGGGAGUCACUUCCCGGACUGUUUCAGAUUACUGUUGGUAACAUGAAAAAAAAAAAAAAGCAUUUGCUCUGUCGGAAUGGUCAUUAAUUAAGAAUAUGAAUUAUGACCGAUUUUUGUUGUUUAGCUGUCUGUGCUUCUUUCGGCUUGUUUUUGAGCCUGAGGUGAAAAUGAUCUUGAAAAAAACAUCUCGGAGCUGGAAAAGCUUCAAACGGCGGGGCGUUUCAACACGAUGUUUGCCUCUGGCUGCAGCUCGGGUCACGCGAAACUGAUUUCAGUUUCAGCUCGACACGACACGACACGAGCCGACUUGUCAGCAGCCUGCAGGUCAACCAGGAGGCGGCCUGCUCUCACCUCAUGGCUGACCCUCACACUGCAUUCCAGCCAAGACCAAGUAUGGUUAUUUGUGUGUGUAUGUGUGUGUGUGUGUGUGUGUUAUGGGGCAUUGAAAACCAGUACACACACUUCCCGUCACAAGUUUGGAUGCAUCUACCCAUUUAUGGGUCUUGGAUUUUUACAUUAAUCUGAAAAAAUAGAUUAAUCAAACAUACUUCACUUUUUCCUCAUACAACAAAUUCUAAAUAUGUUUCUGGUAGUGUGCCAGAAUGUGCAGUCCAGGCCAAAACAUUGGAC